CGUGUGUGUGUACGUGUGUGUACGUACACAUACGUACGUGUACAUAUAUAUGCAUGCGCGCACACACACACACACACACACA